AAGUCGUAACAAGGUUUCCGUAGGUGAACCUGCGGAAGGAUCAUUAAUAACGUUUACGUUACCCCUAAUAGAUGUACCGAAUCAUCGUGGACGGCAGGCGUGGCUGGUAGAAGGUGAGUCUUCCCGAAAAGAGCAAGGUGGCGAGCCGAGCCGGUAGAAGAUGACCCCUCCCGAAACAGGCCACGUCUGUGCCGAUAGUGGUCCAAAAUAGGCAUGGGCCCUAUGCCACGAAGAAACCGUCCAGGUGUGAAGGGAGAAUACACCCAACCCUUGUCUACCUGCCUUGUUGCUUUGGGGGAC
rnacentral:misc_RNA from 1 species